UACGUAGGGUGCAAGCGUUAAUCGGAAUUACUGGGCGUAAAGCGUGCGCAGGCGGUGAUGUAAAGACAGGUGUGAAAUCCCCGGGCUUAACCUGGGAACUGCAUUUGUGACUGCAUCGCUGGAGUGCGGCAGAGGGGGAUGGAAUUCCGCGUGUAGCAGUGAAAUGCGUAGAUAUGCGGAGGAACACCGAUGGCGAAGGCAAUCCCCUGGGCCUGCACUGACGCUCAUGCACGAAAGCGUGGGGAGCAAACAGG
rnacentral:rRNA from 1 species